rnacentral:rRNA from 1 species
UACCAGCACCCCGAGUGGUCGGGACGAUAAUUGGGCCUAAAGCAUCCGUAGCCGGUUCUACAAGUCUUCCGUUAAAUCCACCUGCUUAACAGAUGGGCUGCGGAGGAUACUAUGGAGCUAGGAGGCGGGAGAGGCAAGCGGUACUUAGUGGGUAGGGGUAAAAUCCGUUGAUCCAUUGAAGACCACCAGUGGCGAAGGCGGCUUGCCAGAACGCACUCGACGGUGAGGGAUGAAAGCUGGGGGAGCAAACCGG